ACCCAGCUAUCGAACCUAAGAAGGUAGAAGAAAAGCCCUUCCUCGCCUACACGGGAGCCUCCAGAUCCAAGACUGCUGGUGGGUGAUCUGAGGCCACCUUUACUCCUGCUGUGAAUUCCUUCAAGUUGCUGCAAAUGCUUCUAAGUUCUCUCUCAGAACCUGAUAGAAGGAAGGCAGGAGAGAUGGAGAGAGCCCUGUACUAGGCUGUCAUUUCCUCCUCUGUAAGAAAGACAAGGAGAUCCAACCCGUCCAUCCUAAAGGAGAUCAGUCCUGAACAGUCAUCAGAAGGACUGAUGGUGAAGUUGAAACUCCAAUACUUUGGCCACCUGAUGCGAAGAGCUGAUUCAUUUGAAAAGACCCUGAUGCUGGGAAAGAUUGAAGGCAGGAGGAGAAGGGGACGACAGAGGAUGAGAUAGUUGGAUGGCAUCACUGACUCAAUGGGCAUGAGUUUGGGUAAGCUCCGGGAGUUGGUGAUGGACAGGGAGGCCUGGCGUGCUGCAGUCCGUGGGGUCUCAAAGAGUCAGACACGACUGAAUGACUGAACUGAACUGAACUGAAGAAGGGCAGAGGUGGGAAGCCUAGAUUGAGUCACUGCUCUAAUCGUUUACUGCUGAAAACGCAGUGAGCCAAUUGCUGAGACUUUGGGGUGAGCAAGAGACAGGAUUUGUUGCAUGAUGAUUUGUACUAUCAUCCUGUUGAAUAACUGGCUGGAUACCUACUUGAUACUGUUUCCCUCGCUUUCUUUACUUAAAUGAUCUACUCUCUAAUUGCUUUUCUUCUCUUAAGUGGGUAUUAAGGAGAUAUCCAAUUUUUUCUCUCUUGGCUUAUAGCCACGGCUUCUUGUCCCAGAGGUUUCUGAGCCUGUGAAUAAUUAUCUGGCUUAAGUAAGGGAUGCCCUGAAGGUAAUAGCAUACAAGGUUGCUCAAGGUUCAGGUUUGCUUUUACUUCCUAUGUAACACUCUCUCCUCUAAAACCUUCUACAGUGAUAAUAUUACCUCCAAUAUCAUUUUACAUUUCCACAGAAAUUUUUCCUAGAAUAUCUUUCUUGUUACUUACACCAGGAUCCAUACAGGCUUUAGCAAGGAAAAAGGACAAGUGAACGUCCUCAGUUAUGUUGGAGGGGUUCCUCAAAGCUGCUUUCUAACUCGACCAUUUCAUUUUCCAAUAUUUGUGGCAAAUAUAUAGGAAGAAUUGAUUUUUGUAUGUUGACCAUGAAUCCUAGAGUUUUGCCUAACUCACUGAUUAGAUUUUUUAAUAUUUAUUUAGUAUUUUGUAUUUAUUUGGCUGAGUCGGGUCUUAGUUGCUGCGUGUAGGAUCUUUCAUCUUAGUUGCAGCACAUAGGACCUUGUUCUCUGACCAGGGAUCAGACCCUGGCCCCCUGCAUUGGGAGCAUGCAGUCUUAACCGCUGGACCACUAGGGAAGUCCCUGAUUAGCUUUAGUAGAUUGCAAAUCCCUUUGAAUCUUGUGUCUACAACAUCUUGUCCAUAAAUAAUACUUUUAUUUUUUUAAUUUUCAAACAAUGUGCUUUUUAUUUCUUUUUUCCCAUGACUGUACAUACUUGAACCUCCAAUAUAAUGUUGAAUAUAAGUAGUAAUAGCAAACAUUUUCAUCUUAUCUA
ensembl:lncRNA